rnacentral:rRNA from 1 species
GAUGAACGCUGGCGGCGUGCCUAAUACAUGCAAGUCGAGCGAACAGACGAGAAGCUUGCUUCUCUGACGUUAGCGGCGGACGGGUGAGUAACACGUGGAUAACCUACCUAUAAGACUGGGAUAACUUCGGGAAACCGGAGCUAAUACCGGAUAAUAUUUUGAACCGCAUGGUUCAAUAGUGAAAGACGGUUUUGCUGUCACUUAUAGAUGGAUCCGCGCCGCAUUAGCUAGUUGGUAAGGUAACGGCUUACCAAGGCAACGAUGCGUAGCCGACCUGAGAGGGUGAUCGGCCACACUGGAACUGAGACACGGUCCAGACUCCUACGGGAGGCAGCAGUAGGGAAUCUUCCGCAAUGGGCGAAAGCUUGACGGAGCAACGCCGCGUGAGUGAUGAAGGUCUUCGGAUCGUAAAACUCUGUUAUUAGGGAAGAACAAAUGUGUAAGUAACUGUGCACGUCUUGACGGUACCUAAUCAGAAAGCCACGGCUAACUACGUG